rnacentral:rRNA from 1 species
AGUCGAGCGAACAGAAGGGAGCUUGCUCCCGGAUGUUAGCGGCGGACGGGUGAGUAACACGUGGGUAACCUGCCUGUAAGACUGGGAUAACUCCGGGAAACCGGAGCUAAUACCGGAUAGUUCCUUGAACCGCAUGGUUCAAGGAUGAAAGACGGUUUCGGCUGUCACUUACAGAUGGACCCGCGGCGCAUUAGCUAGUUGGUGGGGUAAUGGCUCACCAAGGCGACGAUGCGUAGCCGACCUGAGAGGGUGAUCGGCCACACUGGGACUGAGACACGGCCCAGACUCCUACGGGAGGCAGCAGUAGGGAAUCUUCCGCAAUGGACGAAAGUCUGACGGAGCAACGCCGCGUGAGUGAUGAAGGUUUUCGGAUCGUAAAGCUCUGUUGUUAGGGAAGAACAAGUGCGAGAGUAACUGCUCGCACCUUGACGGUACCUAACCAGAAAGCCACGGCUAACUACGUGCCAGCAGCCGCGGUAAUACGUAGGUGGCAAGCGUUGUCCGGAAUUAUUGGGCGUAAAGGGCUCGCAGGCGGUUUCUUAAGUCUGAUGUGAAAGCCCCCGGCUCAACCGGGGAGGGUCAUUGGAAACUGGGAAACUUGAGUGCAGAAGAGGAGAGUGGAAUUCCACGUGUAGCGGUGAAAUGCGUAGAGAUGUGGAGGAACACCAGUGGCGAAGGCGACUCUCUGGUCUGUAACUGACGCUGAGGAGCGAAAGCGUGGGGAG